rnacentral:rRNA from 1 species
UACGGGGGGGGCAAGCGUUGUUCGGAAUUACUGGGCGUAAAGGGCUCGUAGGCGGCCAACUAAGUCCGACGUGAAAUCCCAAGGCUUAACCUUGGAACUGCGUCGGAUACUGGAUGGCUUGAAUUCGGGAGAGGGAUGCAGAAUUCCAGGUGUAGCGGUGAAAUGCGUAGAUAUCUGGAGGAAUACCGGUGGCGAAGGCGGCAUCCUGGACCGAUACUGACGCUGAGGAGCGAAAGCGUGGGGAGCGAACAGG